GCGUAGUCUAAUUAAUCAGUCAAUGGGAUUCUGCCUGUCAUUUCUUUUCUUUUUGGCUUCUAUCCCUAUCAUUUUCGCUCAAGAUGUUAAAUAUGGUACAAUUGUGGUUGAUGGCACUAUGACGGUUGCUGAAACUGAUGACAAUUUCAUCUGCGCUACCCUUGAUUGGUGGCCUCAUGANNNNNNNNNNNNNUGACUACAACCAAUGUCCGUGGCACAAUUCAUCUGUCAUAAAUUUGGACUUGUCUCAUCCUUUUCUUGCAAAAGCUAUCCAAGCUUUCAGGCACUUGAGGUUAAGAAUUGGAGGUUCUUUGCAAGACCAA
rnacentral:misc_RNA from 1 species